rnacentral:rRNA from 1 species
UCCAGACUCCUACGGGAGGCAGCAGUGAGGAAUAUUGGUCAAUGGCCGAGAGGCUGAACCAGCCAAGUCGCGUGAGGGAAGACGGCCCUACGGGUUGUAAACCUCUUUUGUCGGGGAGCAAAGCGAGUCACGUGUGACUCAUUGAGAGUACCCGAAGAAAAAGCAUCGGCUAACUCCGUGCCAGCAGCCGCGGUAAUACGGAGGAUGCGAGCGUUAUCCGGAUUUAUUGGGUUUAAAGGGUGCGUAGGCGGACUGUUAAGUCAGCGGUAAAAGCCUGGGGCUCAACCCCGGCGAGCCGUUGAAACUGGCUGUCUUGAGAUGUCGAGAGGUAUGCGGAAUGCGCAGUGUAGCGGUGAAAUGCUUAGAUAUUGCGCAGAACUCCGAUUGCGAAGGCAGCAUACCGGCGGCGAUCUGACGCUGAGGCACGAAGGCGUGGGUAUCGAACAGGAUUAGAUACCCGUGUA